UGAACUAUGCGCUGAGACCGGGCACAGGGAGUUUCCGUGACGCAGUUUCGAGCAUCGCUGAAAAAAGAAAGUUCGAAUACAUAUAUAUAUUUUACAAUACUUAUAGUGUCUCCCAAGAUUUUUUCACCGACGGCGAUCAUCAUUUCGUUUUCGCAGCAUUCCGCGGCGUUAUGUCCAGGUUCUGAAAGGUUGCCGCCGCAUACACGUUGAAGGCGCUUCGGUGUGGAACGAUUGAGACGGGAGGUCUUUAAAAAUGGCGUCCGUGCAAGAUGCGGUUGAUAAAGAAGCUCCGCCUUCACGCAAAAAAAAAGAGAGAGAGAAAAAGAAAGAAAGAAACCGAAAGAGAAGCGUCGACGUCGGUGUGGCGCUGUAAGCGCAAGAAUGCGUGUGUUGUACACGUGGUACAUAGCCUCUCUCCGGCGAUGCACUGCGUCCUUCGCCGAGAGUGGCUUCGUUCGACGUCACUUCAACGAAAGCAAAAGAAAAAAAAAAUGCGGAGCCUGCGGUGACCGUUGCUCGGAGUGCGCGGCCACACCCAACAAAUUUCCAUAGUUUGGGGCAUUGUUGUGCCGCGAAAAUUUAUAGGCGCUAAUUUGAGAGCGAUGAAAAAAAAAAGAGAAGUGUUAGUUCUGUUAGAGAACUCCCUUUUUUUUUUGUUCUGUUCACCCGAUAUUCUCGUCCUCCAAUUUGCGCUAGAAACUUUCCACGCCAUCACGCCACGUGGUGGUGACGGUGGUGGCGGCACGGGAUCACGUGGCCACCCGCGGAGACGCGCCUCGAUCGGAAGAAAGUAAUGUACUGGAAACUCUACGAAGCAGAAUCUUGACCUGGAAUGCCGUACGAACAUACCCUAAAAUAGUCAAACGCCUUUAUAUGAGGUACUGGGGACCUACGUAAUCCUUCUCUCUACAUGUCGCUUAGUUGUAAAGGCCGCGCGCCGUACCACUCACACUGGAGCCGGGUAAGCCGGUUCACCAAGAGAAAGCCUUUAUUUAACGGAGUUCAAGAGAUACUUAGUAAACAAGCCGUGUUUUUCUUUU